rnacentral:rRNA from 1 species
GAGUUUGAUCAUGGCUCAGAUUGAACGCUGGCGGCAUGCCUUACACAUGCAAGUCGAACGGCAGCGCGGGGGCAACCCUGGCGGCGAGUGGCGAACGGGUGAGUAAUAUAUCGGAACGUGCCCUGGAGUGGGGGAUAGCUCGGCGAAAGCCGGAUUAAUACCGCAUACGAUCUAUGGAUGAAAGUGGGGGACCGCAAGGCCUCACGCUCCUGGAGCGGCCGAUAUCUGAUUAGCUAGUUGGUGGGGUAAAAGCCUACCAAGGCGACGAUCAGUAGCUGGUCUGAGAGGACGACCAGCCACACUGGGACUGAGACACGGCCCAGACUCCUACGGGAGGCAGCAGUGGGGAAUUUUGGACAAUGGGGGCAACCCUGAUCCAGCAAUGCCGCGUGUGUGAAGAAGGCCUUCGGGUUGUAAAGCACUUUUGUCCGGAACGAAACGCGUUGGGCUAAUACCUUGACGUAAUGACGGUACCGGAAGAAUAAGCACCGGCUAACUACGUGCCAGCAGCCGCGGUAAUACGUAGGGUGCAAGCGUUAAUCGGAAUUACUGGGCGUAAAGCGUGCGCAGGCGGUUGUGCAAGACCGAUGUGAAAUCCCCGGGCUUAACCUGGGAAUUGCAUUGGUGACUGCACGGCUAGAGUGUGUCAGAGGGGGGUAGAAUUCCACGUGUAGCAGUGAAAUGCGUUCACACAGG